ACAACAUAGCAUAGAAAGCUGCAACAGCAGCGUUGCUUAUGUGUGUUUGUGUGUUUUGCUUAAUUCAUCAGAACUGCUUUGAGCUCUUCAUCUCGGACCACAAAGAUCAGGUGAUCAAAGCCUGCAAAACUGAGGCAGAUGGACGCGUCGUCGAGGGAAACCAUACUUUUUAUAGAAUCUCUGCCCCGACUGCAGAGGAGAAAGAUGAAUGGAUCAACAGCAUCAAAGCUGCUAUCAGCAAAGACCCGUUCUACGAGAUGCUGGCUGCUCGGAAGAAAAAGGUUUCGGGGCUUUAAAGCUGCUGACAAGUAAACAUUGAAAUGUUUCCGUGAAAGCAGUUCACUGGAUGUGGACCUGAUACUCCUGCGGCUGCAGUGACACUCGGACCUGACAGGAAGGAUUUUAAUUAAGUCACGUUUUAAACCGGCACUCCUUCAGUACCGACCACAGACUGAAAAGAAGAACUGGACGCAGCUACUGUGACAUCAUCUUUUGGGUUAUGGACUACUGUUUUGAAACCUUGAAGUUUGGCAUUUCAGCCAUUGCCGUCUUUUGUUUUGGAGCUAUAAAUGACCAUAAUUGAACGAUUUUGAGUAUGCACAUUGCUUCAUCUCUAACCUGAUGUAGAGGUUUCCACAUCCUGAAAAAUACCCCGCUUUAUAUUAUAUUCUGAAUGGGACCAUUAUUUACAAAAUCAACAUCAUGCUGUAUUGAAGACUUGAAUCAAAGAUGAAGUCCAUAAACUUGUUUGGAAAAUGUUCACUGAGGUAAUAAAUCAAGUGAGAAGUAAAAUAAUUUUCUCACUGACUUCUUUACUAUUUUAUGUCUUUUUGCAAUCCGUGGAGUCGCCCCCUGCUGGCCAUUAGCAAGAAUGUAGAUUUAAGGCACUUUCACGAGUUUCACUUUUCAGACCCAGAGGCGUCAUCCACCUCCUGUGUACAGUCAGUUAUGUUUUUUUAUCUUCCUUUUGGACGCUCUACUUCUGCAGUACUGUACUGAUGCUGUGCCCUCUGGUUAGGAAUCCCACUGCUCUUAAAAUCUGCUGUAUGGACUGUUGAAAGAUUAACUUUGUUCAUAGUUAAACUGGAGGUGAAAAAGAGAUUAAAAGAGCUGAUGAAUGAACAAGAUCCAGAAGUUAAAAUUGUACAUUUUAAUGAGGUCUAUUGAAACUCAAGAUGUCAACUGGAAAUAAAUGUAGUCAUCUCGUCUGGGACGCCAGAAUUUGUCGUUUUGUCUGAUUUGCCAUGAAGUUGUUUUUUGUUUUUUUUUUAAACCUGUUUUCAUACUGCUGUUGGUCUUUGUCAAGGCACUGUUUAUGAAAAUGAAGUUGAUGCAUAAAUAGCUACAUAUUUAUUUAUC